GGAUGAAGAACGUAGCGAAAUGCGAUAAGUAAUGUGAAUUGCAGAAUUCAGUGAAUCAUCGAAUCUUUGAACGCACAUUGCGCCCCUUGGUAUUCCGAGGGGCAUGCCUGUUCGAGCGUCAUUAUAACCCCUCAAGCUCAGCUUGGUGUUGGGGCCUGCUGCACUGGCAGCCCUUAAAAUCAGUGGCGGCGCCAUCUGGCUCUAAGCGUAGUAAUUCUUCUCGCUAUGGAGUCCUGGUGGAUGCUUGCCAUCAACCCCCAAUUUUUCUAUGGUUGACCUCGGAUCAGGUAGGGAUACCCGCUGAACUUAAGCAUAUCAAUAAGCGGAGGA
rnacentral:misc_RNA from 1 species